AAGCCAGGACUCAAACAUCCCCAAAGGGCGUCCGGGCUGAUGACGAUAGCUCCCAAUCGCCCUCCAGACGCACACUGGCAGGAACAACCGGAGGGACUUCCCUGACCGACCCCGCGUUUGCUCAGCUUUGAAUUCCCGCUCUGUAGAUCUGUCGCAAUUUAACCAGAAGUCACCCUGUGCAUGGAGCUGUUUGAGAAAGAUCAGAGGAUGUGCCCUUGUUGGAGGAGAUGUGUCCCUGGGGGAAGGUCUUGAAACUUCAAAUGCCCACUCACUCCAUUCUCAGCACCUCUCUUCCUCAUGUCUAUGAAUCAGGAUGGGAAGUUCUCAGCUACUUCUCUAGCACCAUACCUGCCUGCCAGAUGCCGUGCUCCCUGCCAUGAUGGUCAUGAACUCACCCUUUAAAACUGUAAGCCCUCAAUAAAGUCUUUCUUCU
rnacentral:sRNA from 1 species